rnacentral:rRNA from 1 species
UACGUAGGUGGCGAGCGUUGUCCGGAUUUACUGGGCGUAAAGAGCGCGCAGGCGGCUGGUCAAGUCCGAUGUGAAAGCUCCCGGCUUAACUGGGAAAUUGCAUCGGAAACUGAUCGGCUGGAAGGUGGGAGAGGGUAGCGGAAUUCCCGGUGUAGUGGUGAAAUUCGUAGAUAUUCGCAAGAACACCAGUGGCGAGGGCGGCUCACUGGCCCGGUACUGACGCUGAGGUGCGAAAGCGUGGGGAGCAAACAGG